AACGCUAGCUACAGGCUUAACACAUGCAAGUCGAGGGGAAACGAUAUUGGAAGCUUGCUUCCGAUAGGCGUCGACCGGCGCACGGGUGAGUAACGCGUAUCCAACCUGCCCACCACUUGGGAAUAACCUUGCGAAAGUAAGACUAAUACCCAAUGACGUCUCUAGAAGACAUCUGAAGGAGAUUAAAGAUUUAUCGGUGAUGGAUGGGGAUGCGUCUGAUUAGCUUGUUGGCGGGGUAACGGCCCACCAAGGCGACGAUCAGUAGGGGUUCUGAGAGGAAGGUCCCCCACAUUGGAACUGAGACACGGUCCAAACUCCUACGGGAGGCAGCAGUGAGGAAUAUUGGUCAAUGGGCGAGAGCCUGAACCAGCCAAGUAGCGUGCAGGAUGACGGCCCUAUGGGUUGUAAACUGCUUUUAUAAGGGAAUAAAGUGAGCCUCGUGAGGCUUUUUGCAUGUACCUUAUGAAUAAGGACCGGCUAAUUCCGUGCCAGCAGCCGCGGUAAUACGGAAGGUCCAGGCGUUAUCCGGAUUUAUUGGGUUUAAAGGGAGCGUAGGCCGGAGAUUAAGCGUGUUGUGAAAUGUAGAUGCUCAACAUCUGCACUGCAGCGCGAACUGGUUUCCUUGAGUACGCACAAAGUGGGCGGAAUUCGUGGUGUAGCGGUGAAAUGCUUAGAUAUCACGAAGAACUCCGAUUG
rnacentral:rRNA from 1 species